AGUGAACGCUGGCGGCAGGCCUAAUACAUGCAAGUCGAACGGCCGCACAGUAAGCGCUCGCUCCUACGGGUGGCGAGUGGCGGACGGGUGAGGCAUACAUCAGCAUCCUAUUUUUCUUGGGGGACAUCGUAGGGACACUGAUGCUACUACAGCAUAUGACCUACGGGUGAAAGCAGAGGAUCUUCGCACUCUGCCUGACUGAAUGAGACGAUGUCGGAUUAGCUAGUUGGCGGGGUAAAGGCCCACCAAGGCGACGAUGCGUAGCUGAUCUGAGAGGAUGAUCAGCCACACUGGAACUGAGACACGGUCCAGACUCCUACGGGAGGCAGCAGUGGGGAAUAUUGGGCAAUGGGCGAAAGCCUGAUCGAGCCAUGCCGCGUGAGUGAAGAAGGUCUUCGGGUUGUAAAACCCUGUUAUUAGGAAAGAAAAGCAGCGGAAGAAUACGCCGCUGUUCUGACGGUACCCAAAGAGAAAGCAACGGCUAACUUCGUG
rnacentral:rRNA from 1 species